AACGCACCUUGCACCAUAUGAGCAAUCGUAUGGUAUACCUGUUUGAGAAUCGUAAAAACCCACUCCUACCCUUGGGUAGGGAAGUGUCGGUUUGAGCCUUGCUCAAUCUGAUCAAAAGUAGUAGGUCUAGUCAGGCUGGUGGCCUGGGACAUUGUGUGCUAGAGACGUCACUUGUGACUGUCUUCUCACGAUGCGUCCUUGGCUAUUCAAGCUGGUCUGAUGUCCACCUCUCAGUGUCUUCGUCAUGGAGACACACCCCCCCUUUUUGAUCUCAAAUCAGGUAAGGCUACCCGCUGAACUUAA
rnacentral:misc_RNA from 1 species